AUUACAGUCAUAAGCCACUGUGCCAGGCCUAUUUUGAACUCUUUAUCUGACAUUUUGAGGAUUUCUUUUUGGCUAGGAUCUACUGAUGAAUGACUGUAUUCCUUUGAGGGUGUCAUAUUACCUUGCAUUUUUGUGUUUUUUGUUUCUUUAUGUUGACGUAUGCACAUAUGGAGCAACAAUCACUUCUCAUUUUUGAAUUUGCUUUGGUUGUGGGAAUUUUUUUUUCUUAAAGAUGGGACUCUAAUGUUGGUUGGGUAGGCAAAUAGAUAAUAUGAACAAUUCUAUAGUUAUUAAAAAUAUUAAAUAGUUAAUAGCCUCUCAAAAAGAGGCAACAGGCCCAGAUGGUUUCACUUGCGGGUUCUACCAAGCAUUUAAGGAAGAAAUGAUGCUAAUUUUUCAUAAUCUCAUCCAUUAAAAAUAAGAGCAGAGGGAAUACUUUCUAAAUCAUUCUGUUAGGCCAGGAUUAUCCUAAUACUAAAACCAGGUAAAGACAUUAUAAAAAAGUAAAAGUGCAGAUCAAUAGUUCACAUUAAUAUAGAAGCAACAAUUCUGAACAAGAUAUUAGUAAAUUAAAUCCAACAUGUAUAAAAAUAAUUAUACACCACAACCAAAUAGAAUUUAUUCCAAGGCUGUCUCAACAUUAGAAAAUUAAUCAAUAUAAUUAACCAUCUUAACAGAUAAAAAAGCAAAAUCAUACGAUAAUAUAAAUUGGUGCUGCAAAAGCAUUUGGAAAAAUCUGACAACCACUUGUGAUAAAAACUCUCAGCAAACUAGGAUUAGAGGGGAACUUCUUCAACUUGAUAAACAACAUCUGCAAAAACCGUACAGCUGACAUUUAGUGGUGAGAAACUGAAUGCUUUCUUCCUAAAAUGAGAAACAAGUCAAAGAUAUCUUCUCUCAUCACUCCUAUUCAUCUUUGUACUACAGUCCUACCUAAUGAAAUAAGAGAAGGAAAGAAGAUAAAGUUAUACAUAUUGGGCAGGAAGAAAUACAACUGUCUUUGCUCCCAGAUGACAAGAUUGUUUAUAUAGAAAUUCCUAAAGAAUUGAAAACAAAACAAAAAACCUCCUGGAACUAAUACGUGAGUAUAGCAAGGUCAUAGGACACAAGGCUAAUAUACUAAAGUCAAAUGCUGCCCUAUACGUCAGCAGUGAACAAUUGAAGUUCGAAAUUUUAAAAAUCAAUUUCCAUGAAGUCAAAUGCUUAUGUAUAAAUGUAACUGAAAAUGUACAAGACCUAUAUGUGGAAAACUAUGAUACUGAUGAACAAAAUCAAGGAAAAUUAAUAAUUAGAUACUCUGUGUUUAUGAGUUGAAAACACAAAUCAGGAGACAAAUUAAAGAGAGGGAUGAGACUAAACUCUGUUUUCAGAUUUUUAAACCAGAAAAGAAUUUUAAUUUGAGGAACUUGAUUUUGAUGCCUUAUUAAUAGGAACAAUUUUAAACAAUUCAUCAAUUGAUUAACUGUCUAAUUUGUUUAUAUCAUUGCUAUUAAAAUGCUUCAGAGCAAAAAAUUCAAAUAGUUUAAAAGGUGAUGAAAAUUUUUUCUCCAUUCCAAGAAGAAACUACAAUUAUCAAUGUCUUGGCUGUGUUUCCAGAAAUGUUCUUAUCAUACGCAGUCUUUCAGAUGGUAAAUCAGAAUCUGUGGCUAAAGAAGUUAGAAUGUUGACUGUUCUAUUUGUUAGAUCUUUAUAUACCCUACAAACUUGUGAGCUUUUACUUUCUUCUUUGCAUUGUUUUUAAUUUUUAAAAUAAUACUAAUUUUUAUAGAUCACUAAAAGUAUGAAUUUUGUAGUUAACAUGUAAAGUUUCUGGUUUCAUUUGCCCUCUAUUGCUUUUGGGCAAAUAAUCCAAGAGUAGGGUCAAGGUUGGUGAGAUUUGACCUCUUUUUUCUGAGUAUGCAUUGAGUAUGAGUGUUUAUGUGGAGUUUGGAAAGGAGAAAAUAUCUGGAAAAGAGAGAAAACAGGAGAACGAAAAGUACUAUUUCUCUCCUUGUCUGUCUCUUGCUUUUCCAGGACUGCUUACUGGUGUGCAAAGGGGUGUUCCCAGGCCUUAACACCUACCGUGUGGAUAUCACUAUUUUGGAAGCCUACUAGUAGCAGCAGUUAGACUCAUAUAAGUUCCUAAGCCUUUAAAACCUAGGACUGCAAUUUGGAACCUGAACCUGUGUAAUUGUCUAUGGUAUGACUGUGGAUGUGGAAGUUCUGCAUCUUUAAAAAAUUCUCUCUGCCUCUCCGCUCAAAGUCUCCUAGUCUCCUUCAUUCAGCAACACCAGCGUGAAGUGAGAAGGGAAAUGUGCAGAGAAAUCUACCACACUCUUACGCUCAUUACUUCCACCACUGAUACCUGGCACUGACUAAAACCAAUUCCGUCUCCCUAUUUUUCAUGUUUCUAAUUUCUUGCAAACCAUCACAGAUAUUGCAGACUAUAGUAGGCAAAUUGCAUACCAUGCUAAUGAACAUAGCAAAUCAGUUGAAUAAGCAGGAGCUUGAUGUGCAAGAAUAAGCACCAUGAUAACACUGUUGCAUGAAAGUUGCUUUGAUUGGUAUUGUAAAUGAGGCCUUUCUUCUGGGGGUUCCACGUGCUUUGAGGUUGACGUGAACAUGAACCUGUCCUCUGGGUCACACCACCAGCAUCAGUGUGGCACCCUUGGGCCUAGUGCCCUGGACUGAGGCUAGGGCUGAAGCUAGGCCUGGGGCAAGGAUUUGGAGGAGAGAAAUUGGAGAAUGGCUUCCGGCUGCCCUUGAACGCUUAAAAUUUAGGAAGGGACACAGAACAUUUGUACAAUCUUAUAAGCAUUAUCUUAUAAUGAAAAUCAAAUAAUGCAAUAGCCCAGAGUACCUUGAACAGUGCCAGAGUCUGUGUGGGAGUAGAGAGAAGCUUUGGGGAUGUGGCUGGAAGAUAUCACAAGGCACAGGGUUCUCCAUGGUAACUUUUCAACUGUGAUUGGCAAACUGUCCUCAGCUCACUAUCUCGAGGCUCCAUGGAGCACGAUCAUGUUCCCAGAUGCUCUCUUUUGGAGUCUAGCCAGAUAUGGCCACUAGCUUUGCUCGGAAUUAGCUCAAAACUUGAUGUCCUGUCUGAGAUCCUUUGACUUAGUGACAUUUCCUGUAACGGAGCACUCCAUGUCUAUACAGUCAUGUGCAACCCACUGACAGUAAGUCCAGGGGGAGUCUGCUGGUUCUGGUGUUUACCCUAACAGGCUUGAAAAACAGCAUGUCUCUUCCUGGCAUAUCUUCUCUUUACUGGUUUUCAUCUUUCCAGUCUCUUGUCUUAGAGAAGAUAAUACAAUUGUUAACGUUUCACAUCAUUUCUCAGCAGAGUAAUUGUUUUGUUUCCAAUGCCUUUAAAGAAUACCUUAGAUUGCCAUGAAAUAGUGUGAUCUGAGACAAGUUGUCUAUCACAUCUGUGGAUGUGUGCAAGGGCAAGCUGGGUGAGUCAGAUGCCUACCGUCACCCAACGAAUCACCUGGAAACCUUAUUAGGAACUGUCCAGUGGCAGACUUAAAUAUAUUUACUUGGCAUCACUUGGUUCUUCUGACUUUAGCUUUGCUCAUUUCGGAAAGAAGGAGGGUGGUGCUGGGUGCUGCCAGCUGUCUUUCUCUGCUCUGGGGAGUGCAUGGACCUGGAAGUGUUGAUCUGUUAUGGUACAUUUGCACAGUGCAAAGUUCAGAGUGGUCACAGAGCUUGAUGGUAUCUGAAGGAUUCUGCAGCCUCCAAGUCAGAAGCAGCCCUCUUAAGUCUUGUAUUAAAUAAGGCCCCACCUUAUAAGGAGGAAAGUGAGGUGAAGCUGAAAAUACACAGAUUUAGUUAACUUACCCAGUGUCCCAUCACUAGAGUGUAUCAGUACAGUAAAAACACCUAUCCUGUCCCCAUGUGAGUUGUUGAUCUAACUUGGUGACUUUUUGGAAGCCUUCCUUCAGUGCAGAUUUAUUUCAAAGAGCUCAUCUCAGGCCUGCUAUCCUUAAGGAGAAUGUGUGGGGUGUGGAGGCUGCUUAAAUCACCACCGAAAACGUUUGAGGACUAAGGGAGUAGUUUUGACUCACUAUUCACCUUUCUCCUUCUUUGAAGAAUACACAGAUUUCACUAAAUUCACCCACACAUCCACAACCCCUUCAAUGCAUUUAUCAUAUCAAGAUUUCAUUUUUAUCUGCUGGCAUAACUCAAUGUAGGCCCAUAUUUAACCAUCCUUAUUGUGUUUUUCUAAUUAUACAUUUUUUCUUUGCCUCCAAACUGUCUUUUUAGGGAUAUGGCUUAGCUGUUUCUUUAUGUUUUAAGGUUACACUGGGAAUUUAUUUUUUUCCCUCUUCAUGGCAUCCAUAAAGCUAAACUAUAUUCAGUACCAAAUACAAAUAUAUAGCUUUGUUGUUCCUUCACUAAGAUUUUCACCCUUGCACUAAUAUAGUUUGAUUAGGACAAGUUCAGUGUUGUGACAGUCUUUUUCACAUAUCUCUCUGGGACCUAAUUUUGAUCUCUAUAAAACAGGGAUAGUUAUGAAGCAGAUGGGUCCAACCACCUCAAGGCUGUUGCGAGGACAAAAGAAGUUAAUAUAUGAAUGUGCUCCCAAAGACCUUACAUGGGUCCUUUGAGUAGGGGCAUUGACCUUUCUCUUUUGGUCUCUGCCUUCUGCCCUCAUCCAGUCUCUCCUCUCAUACUUCAGUCUCAGAUGCAUCAUCGUGCCUCUGAAAUGUUUCAUUGCCACACUGCAUGUAUUAGUUUGUUAUUAUUUACUUAUCUAUAUUCUACACCAGACUCUAAUAAAUCUGAGAUCUUCGUUUGGUUUCUCUGUAUUCCCAUUCCUGGAGCAAGUGGAUUCCCAAUUAAUUCUUAAAUACUUGUUGAAUAAUUGAGUUAUUGUUACCACCUAUAACUAUGUGAAAUAAAACCAAAUAUUUUUUCCAUAUUUAUUAGGUCUGAGAUAAACUAUGUCUUGUUUUACAUAAAAAUCACAAGAGUCUUAUGAGGUUGAUGUUAUUAAUAUCUCUGUAUUAUAGUUGAGAAAUUGGAGGCAAUUUGCCUAAGGACAAAAAGCAAGUAAUACUGGCGAAGGUGGGGUUUGAACUCAGGAAGUGUGACUUCAGAGCCUUCAUGCUUAAAUAGCAUACUGAGACAUUUCUUGGGAGCAACAGUGGGAUUUGCAGUUAUCCCAGAUGCCGGCUUAUCUGUGCUUCAGCCAGCUGAAGUCAAGGGAUCAGGGAAUCUUAGUUGAAGUCCUCAGGUGUGAUGACUUAUCUGAAUGCUCCACACAUGUGACUACUUCAGCCAUUGGAAUUGGGGGACCACUGAGCAGAUUCCAGAACCUGUUCUCAGUGGUGCGUAUCAGGCAGGUCUUAGUCUAUGUCCAGAUGUGCUCCUUUCUGAGUGAAGUUUGUAUUUUUUUUCUCUAGAAUUUCUAUUAGUUGAAUAAUAUCAGAUUGCUAGAGAUCUUUUUAUUUGCUUUUGUUUAUUUUAGUUCUAUCUGCCUGAAGACAUACUACUCUUUGGUCUUUCCUCAGGAUGGGCCCUCUGUAGCAGACAUGUCUGCAACACCAAAGUACUUGUUUCCUCCUGCCUUCUCCUCCCUACAUCCAAGGCCUUUUUAUUGUAAUAUAAACAAAACUGUUAUUUUAAAACCACUGACUCUGAGAUGUGUCAUCUUAAUUUUCAUCUUGACUUUCUUCCCUGCAGUCCUUCUAUGAGCUAGAAUUAAAAAUUAGAUAUGUUUUAGAAAUAUGUUUGGAAUCAGAAAUAAGGUGGUGUCUUCCUUGUACUUUGAGCAUUCCUCAGCCUUCUUUCCUCUCUCUCAUCUGUUUUCUGACUUUGUAAAUUGUUGUGUUGUAGUGGGUGCUUUAUGAGGUAGUCUAACUUGUGAUAAGGAUGUGAUGUGUAGUUGGAAUGGCAGGUUCUGCAAUGAGGUCACUGAAUCCAGGACAGGUAAACAACAUGUUAUUUGUCUAACUUCGAAAAAUCCUUACAAAUGCUCUAUUUUUCUUGCCAGAGUUGAUCCUCAUUACCACAUUUUCUUAUUUAUCAGGAUGGGAGCAGGCUCACUUGAGGGAGAAAUGCUAUCCUGGUUAAAUGUACAGGUAGACAACUUUUUCAGAGCCUCAGAGGGCAAAAGAAUGCUUGAUCUGGAUGUGUAUCUUUACCUUAGAAACAUGUUCCACUGUGGCCAGAAAUCUAGAAAUCUAUUUUUUUUUUUAAUUGGAAGCUAUUCAACUUUUUGAAAAAGUGAUGUACAGACCCUUGAGCAUUCCUUGCUGCCUCAACCCUCUCCCUGAAUGUGGAGAGCUUGGAGACUAUCUACCUUGUAUCUAGGAAUUUGGGAAGGAUAGGCAAUAUUGCUCUCACCAAAACAUAAUUGACCCACUCCUGCCUCUGAGGCUUUGUUAAUUGAAUUAUCAUCCUGCAACAUUUACUCCUAUUUUUUUCUGACUGCAUAUCCUAUUAUUUAAGCUCAAUUAAGGUGUUGCCUGCUCUCAGAAGCCUUACCUGACAAAGAAAGUCAACAGUCCUCCUCUGUAUUCUGAUAGUCCUUGCUGUCUCUAGCAAUCAUCUAGCAUAUGCUGUUAAUUAGUUUUCCUCAUGCUUAAUAUUUUCCACUAGAUUGUAAGCUCUUCAAGGCCAAUGGCUCUGCCCUUUUCAAUCUUUGUAUGACCAGAGGCUUUCUAGCACAGAGAUUUGUUUACAGUAGGUGUGAAAUAAAUGUGUGAUAUUGGCUGAUUUAUGAGCAUGCCCUCUAAUACAAGACAUAUGGGGUUCAUUGGCUUGGUGCUUGAGUGUCACCACCCCCACACCUCCACCCUUUUCUCCAAGUUAUCCUCUUGGCCUGGCCCAGCUGAAGCUGUGGAAAGUAGAUAAAUCAUCCAGCUCCUAGGUCAGACAGCUCAGAGACAAAUGAACACAGCAGGUCGUUGCCACUAUAAUGAUGCAGUGGCUGUUCUGUUUGCCAGUUUCUGGACAACAAUAGAUUGCCUCCCUUCUCUUAACUUUAAUUCCAUUUCUCAUAAGGCUGAAAUUGCAGUUGCUAUUUUCCAACUUCUUUUCUCCCCACCUUGCCCUAGUUCAUGUCAGUGUUACCUUAACUAACAUUUUUAUGGCUUGAAAAUCAAUUCAGCACCAGAUAUAAAGACAUUCUCUGUCUCAAGCCUUUGUUCUCAGCACUAGCCUCAGCACCCUCCAUUGGCCCAGUGCUGUAGCUUCAAACCUGCUUCAGGGUCCCUAGUCUCUGAUUCCUUUUUUGUUUGAACUUUUGUCAGAUCUGUGUUGAUGUUUAUGAGAUAGACAUUCUCUUGUUCUCCUUUCAUUGAUUUAUUUUCAGAUAACGGAAUCUUUGGAAUUAUGAAAUUGAAAAGAUAUUGGUUUGAACAAUCCUUGUUAAUCAUAAGCCUCACUUAUUUUACCCUUUUCAACUUAAUGAUCUUGGAAUACAGAAAAGAGAUUUAGGGCUUAAAGCAGGGUGCUUGGAAAAGAUUUCACUGGUUCUCAAUGGCCAGGCUCAGAGAAGUAUUUAAAAUCCUUUACCAUCGAGAUUCAGAUUAUUUUGUCAGUUCUUUCUCUAGGCCAGUUAGUCUGGUCUUUAAAUUCAGCACCACGGAUAGAGGAGAUUAGAGGCGGGGAUGCGUUAGGCAAAACCCUGCCUGGGGAAGUUUUAGUAGUGCACAAAAUGAUUACUUUUAUUCUCAGGAAUGGCCUUUUGAGUUGAGAAGCCCUAUACAGGACACCUUUGCUGCCCUAAAUGAACACCUGAGCUGAAGUAAGUUUUACUAAAAAGCAUUUACAUCGAAAUGAAAAUAUUAAGAUUUGAAUUCCAGUCUUUAUAUGUACUAGGUACAUGGCUUUGUGCCUGGUACACUUUCUGAGAACCAACUUCUGCUGUACAGAUAUGUUUGGGAAACUACUACCCUGAGAAGAUGUAGAGUGUACUUCUAAGUUGGGUUUGCAUUCUGGCUCUAUUCCUUACUUUGGGAUCUUGGACAAGUUACUUAAAUUUUCUAUGGCUGUUUUCUCAUCUCUUAAGAAGGUGAAAAAGGUACUUUAUUCAUAAUGUUGAUGGGAGCCUUAAGCGAGAUAUUAUAUGAAAAAUUCUUAGAAGUGUAUAUGGCAUAUAGUAAGUGCUACGUUAUUAUCACUAUAAUUAUUUAACAAAAUUACUGUAAAAAUUACAUGAGAUAAUAUGUGUAGAAAGUUGGACAGGGACUAGCCAUGCAAUAAUUCUGGUUAUACUUUCUUUUUUCCUCAUUGAUGUUUGAAAUCACUCUAUUCCUUUGCAUUAAGCAUUGACCUCAAAGACUUAUAGCACCCUUGGAAGAGGAUUUAUUUUCUUGUACACCUGUGUAUGUUUGAAUUAGUUCGUCGCUUACUGUGGGACAGAAAAAUGUAAAAGUUCUGGGUGCUAGAGCUAGGGAGAGUGGGCCAGGAAAGAAAGGAUAAAAGCUUCCCAUACUGUUUUCUGGUUUGUUGAAGGGGUGAGUGUAAUUUAGAGAAUUAAAUGUAGGCGUCCUCUUCAUAAUCCUAUGCAAAAGGCUCACCAUCCACACAUCAUAGCUGCAGGCUUGUUGUGAUUUGCUGUAUGAGACUCUGGAAUCUUAUUGAGAAUGGAAAAGAACUCAAAUAAUAUGCAUUGAAAUCUGGAAGCUCAGCCCAAUGGUCUUGGAAAUUGUGCCUCUGAACUGGGAUCUGUUUGCUUCAUUCAUUUAUAUAUUCACAUAUUGUACAUUAAUUCAUUUAUACUCAGUAAGCAUUUAUUGAUAAUUUACUGUAUCUAGGCAUAAUGUUAAGGAUUAUAGCAGAGAAAUAUUUAGACUAAAGGCUGCCAUCAGGCAUUAGGGAAUGCAAAACAUACAUGAAAAUCAUUAAUUAAGUGAAUCAAUAAAUAUUAAGUAUUUAAUAUUGUGUCUGGCAAAUGAUUGGGAUUCAAUAUUUGUUAGAUGAGUUUGCUGUAAGUUUUUAUUAUUUAUACUAUCAAGUUUGAUAAGUUACUGUCUACAUAUAGGGUUUAAAGGAGGAGUGAGAUAUUGCUCUGUUGGGGACUGAAAGGCGAUAUCUUCAGAAAGGAGGUCACAUUUGAGAUGGGCCUUGAGGCAGGGGUAUAACUUGGUCAUGGACAAAUGGAAAAGAAGUGGGUCUCUAGCUGAAAGGUAUGGUGUGAACCACAAGGCAGUAGGAAAUCAUAGGGUAUUGAUCAUGAAAAAAUACCAAGUACUUUGAAGUGGAAGAAACAUUAUGUACAAGUAUUGAGAGAUGAAACUGGGAAGGUAUGUUAGAGAUUUAUCUUGGUAGCUUUGAGUGCCAGGCUGCAGACUUUGGGCCUUGUGGUGUGAAUGAAGCGGUAUCAUUCAACGUUUUAUUUAUUUAUUUAUUGAUUACUCCAGAUGAAUAAUCAGGUCUUGAUCUGUUUUUAUAAUAAAAAAAUAAUUGACAGCAGUCAACAGUAACACCAUAGUUGCUAUUCUUUUUAAUGAAAUUGUCCUGUGAGAAUUCCAGGUAUACAAAAUGAACCCACCUGGUCACCCAAAUUUUGGAUAAUAAUCUCUUGAUUUGUGAUUUUCUAUUUACAGAUUCAGCCAUGUCUUCCUAGGACCCAGCAACCAAACCUGGACCAAAGGUCUCAGAUCCUCAGCAGUGGGGGUGCAUCUGGUGAUUGUAUUCAUGCUAAAUUUGUGCCAAGAGACACCAGUACUCGUGGGAGAAUUAAUAUUUCACUUCUGUUUAGGUUUCUCAUCUGUGAGCUGCUAUCACUGAAUACAUAAAGAAAUUGAGCUUGUAUGAUUUCAGUCUUCACCUUCUGAUGCUGAUGAAACAGGAUUCUAUGCAGGGAGGUGCAGGACAACCCGGUGAAAAUGAACUAGAGAAAAUGAUGGGGUCACUCGUGAUCUAAAUUGGCCUUUGAGGAAAACAAUCUGCUCAUGAACUUGCCCUGUUUCACUCGAACACUGGAUAGCUCUGUCUCAAGGGCCAACCUGAGUGUUUCUGCGGAAAGGAUGUUUUCCACAGGGAGAAGCUGUAGGCUGAAGUGGCUCUUUAGGGAGACGCAUACCUCCACAGGCAGAGCAGUCUAGAUUGUUUUAGCAUAUUCCACUUAAGAACUGCAGUGUGACAGCAGACCCAAUUGGGUCUGGAACUAGCUCUGGGAUUUGCUGCAUGUUGCUGACCCUGAAUUUUGAAGAGAAGCCCUGAUGAGACAAAGAGGGAUGCUGAUAACCUAGAGGAGAGACAUUGAUGAUGGACACCUCUGCCUCCUUCCACUUUAUUUGGCUGGCUGCCUCCCGAUGUCCUGGCUUAGGUUUUUCCUUUUUCUCCUGGAGAAGACGAGUGGAGUCUGGCUCCUGCUUUUACCUCCUUACAGAGGAUCCUGCAGGCUUAGGAGCCCCAUUUCUGGGAGCUUUCAAUUUUGACAGCUGUAAAUCCUGCCUUCCAUGUGUUUCAUUGCCAGUCUCAUCCAUUGAAUAACAAGCUCCUUGCAGGCAGAAGGGGUCUUCAUCCAGGCGUCUGAAAGCCAUUCCAAAGGCAAGCCUGCAUCUCAGCCUUGCUCUGGACAUUUAGACAGAGCUGCUUUGACAACUCACUGGAGUAUGCUGACCACUACUUUUCACUUCCUCUACAAGCAAGAGGUCCUAAAACAGCUGUUACACUGAGGAAGAUGAGAGGGUACCUCUCUCCCCAGCAAUGGCAAACUGGAAGGCAGGAUUUACUGUUGCAUUUGUUGAGUGCUUGAAGCUCCUUGGAUUCAUUCUGCAUCUGAGAAAAUCCUCUCCAGUCAGGUGAUUGCAUCCAUUUCGUCUUCCCAGCCCUCCUCUAGAUGGGAGGUGGAGGUGUGUGUACCAAUCUCUUAAUUCAGAAAUGAGACAACAGGAGGAAAAAGGAGAAGUUCAGGAGGGAUGAGAACGUUGCCCUCAUUGGUCUGGAAUCAGCAGGUACCUCAUGACUGGAGGUGUAUUUUCAGGUUCAUUGGACCUCUGAAUUCUUUUCACGGAUCUUUUGGUGUUAGGUGAUCACGUCUGAAGCAGUGACUUCUGGGGAUUAUUUAUCUUUCACUUUGGAUGUCUGAUCAGAAUAAAGCACCAUCUUAAAGCCAAGAAGUGAUAAUGAUGGAAAAUGGGCCGUGGCAUGAUGGAGGCAGCAACCCUUCCACCUGUUUGUAAAACACUGAAAAAAUUGCCUCAGAUAAGGAAGUGUCCUCCAGUGAGAAAGGAAUUAUUUCCCACCGACCACAUGAUAAAUGUACAGGUGAAUAAAACUUGGGCAAUUGAGGGAAAGUUUAUCUAGAUGAAUGGCUGCUCAUUCAGGCCCGAGAGACAGAACUAGAAGGAACUCGAAUGAGGCCCACGGUCAGCAGCCAAGGGCAGGGUGGGGGCUGUGGGGCCAUAGCAUUCAGGGGCAAGUUUCCACAGGCGACUUCUUCCUUGGUCAACUCCGGUAACUUUCCCCACUCACAACUUCCACCGCGCUGGUACUUGGUUAUCCGUUCUUGACCUGCCUCUUCUCCUUGUUAAUUAAUUUCCUGCUUCUGAUUGGAAUUGCCAUGGGUGACCGCUUCUGCAUCUAGAGGUAAUCAGUCCAGGGAUGGGUGUACUUUUAUUUUCACAAUUCUGUUUCCUGUCUUCUCAGCCCACAGAGGCACUUUCGCUUGGAUGUACUCAACACUCACACAGGGAUGAGAGGGCAUCUCAGGCCUUGGAAUGCCCCAGGGAGGGGGUCCUGAAAGGACACUUCCUAAUUUGUAUUUUAUUUGACACUAAUCUAGCAUUUAAUGUGCACUAGUCAUUGUUCCAAUUGUUUUACAAAAUUAAUUAUUUAAUCCUCACAACCACUAUACUCCCCAUUUUAAAAAAGGAGAAAUGAAGAAACUAAGACCCAGAGAGGUUGCAUAACAUGGCCAAAGUCACACAGCUAUCAAGUAGCUGAGGUAAGAUUCAGAUCCAGUUAGUCUGGCUCUAGAACAACACUGCACAAUACAAAUAAGAUGGAAGGUACCAAUGACAAGUUCAGUACAUAAUUUAAAAUUCUGUAGUAGCUACAUUAAACACAUUUUAAAAAUAAACAGGGAAAUUAACUGUAAUAACUUUUUUCUCUACCAAUCUAAAAUGUUAUCAUUAUGACAUGUAAUCAAUAUUGAAAAGUAUUAAUGUGAUAUAUUCUUUCCUACUAACUCUUCAAAAUUAGUGUGUAUUUCACACUUAACAGCACAUGUCAGUUCAGACUAGUUUCAUUUCUAGUGCUUAGUAGCCACCAUGCUGAGCAAUGCUUCUUUAAGUCUUGCUCUUCAUCAGUGGGCUAUGCUGCGCCUUGGCUAAUCUGCCCAUGGAGCUCAGAAGGACCUCGAAGGUAGGGCUUUAGAACAACUGCUGGGUAGCAGAGGUGUUCCCAUGAUGCGCAGACACAGGGAGAAACAUGGUGGGAGACAUACCAGUGACCCUACCACCCCCGUACAUCAAGGAGAAACCCAAAGAUUCCCAUCCCCUUGAGAAAUUGGAGAAGGCUUUUCCUAGAGUUUGUGGGUAUUUGGAGAGCUGAGAAAGUGUCUUCUUGAAGACUGCCCAACGCUGUGUGUGCAGCAGAUGCCUGGAGCCCAAGGAAGAGCCUUGCUCACUAAGAGCGACCACAAUGAAGAAGCCACACCCAUAAGGCCAACAUUGUGGCAAGAAGAGAAGGAAAAUGGAAAGUGUUUCCAAUUUUCUCUAGCAGCUCCUGCAUCAUAACUACCCCUGUAUUCUGUCUGUUAGUCUGUUGUUAUUUAUUUAUUUGGUUGUAUUCCAUUUUAUUCUUUGAAUGGAUGAGAUGUAGUUUACAAAGAUAGUUGGAUGAUGGCAAGAUGACAUAAAAGAUUCCAAAACAUGAGGCAGAGGAGAAGUAAGAAUAGGAAAGAUGAAUGGAAUCAGGUAUGAAGUGGGUUCAAAAAGUGCAUGCCUUAGGGUCUUGCAUAAUUGCUAGAGAUGGGCUGUAUUGAUUGGAAUCUAAGCUUCCCAACAGCCUAGGUCAAGAGGGAAGCACAGUGGUUACAGGAAUCACAGUGUAAUUAACCAAAAACAAGCAGGAGCUAGAAGCGGGGUGGGGGACAUUACUGUAACAUUCAGAGGCCUGAGAGAAGCCAAUCUUCUUGAAAAGAGACAUCAUCCGGUCUCAAUGCUAUCCUCAGCAGGGCUCUGGUGUAAAAUCCUCCCUACCCACGCACCCAGAGUUUCCUUUCCUGCCUCUGUUUAGACUGAGGGCUUAUCUCUAGCUAUUCUAUAGCUAUUGUGCAGCAUACAAUGCUUCCCACAUACUCAGCACUCAGAUAAACUGGCUUAAUCUGGGGUCAGUUUAAAUGAUUUAGAUCAAUGCAUUUUUGUGCGGAACUACUCUGAGUUCACCAAAGCCUGUCUCCCUCCCUCCUCAACACUUACCAUGAGUGCUUUUCCCAGCCUUCAUUGCAACUGGGUGCGGCCUCGAGACUGAAUGUGGGCAGAAGUGGUUGGAAAGUAAAUGUGUUUGGUCUAAAACCCCUUUCCCUAUCUGCUGUCUGGAAGAAAAAGAAUAUCAGGACCCACAGGAGGGUAGAGUCACAGGAAAGAAGAAACCUGGGCUCCUGAAGGCCUAGAGGAAAGACAUGGAACCGGAAAACCUUAAUUGGACUGUGAUGUACAUGAGAAACUAACUUCUAUUGUGUUAAGCAACUGGGAAUUCAGUAUUUAUCUGUUAGAACUGCUAGCAUUACCUUAGCGAAUACAAUUCCCUGCUGGGAAAUACUCCCUAAACACAAUUCUUCUCAAUCAAGAGGAAUUGAAAGGUUUGAGUGGCACUAAGUUCAAGGUUACAUUCCCUGACAACUAGCAGGAGUGCAAAUAUUCUCUGUUGCAGGGAAGUAGGGAGGUGUAGAGCCUUAUGUUUUAACAGUCACCCAAGGUGGGAGUAAGAUUAACAUACUCUUGUCAAAAUUGUGUCACCUUACAAGAACUCCUGCCUGAGUAGAAAGCUCUUAUAUCUCCUUUUGGAGAUAAGCCAGGAUGUACCUGUAGGUAAGGCCAAGAUUCUCUUCAGAAAGUCAUUUUGGAUCUACCUGAACACAUGGGACAAUGAUAACCAAGGCCACACAGCUUUGUACGGUGAAAUAUGCUCUAAUAAUUUUUGCCUGAAAGAAAAUGUAAAACAGCUAUAACCCUAUGACUGUUGUGCCCUUAAGAACAAAACAAACCUUGCACAGUUUACCUGUCCAA